rnacentral:rRNA from 1 species
AUUGAACGCUGGCGGCAGGCCUAACACAUGCAAGUCGAGCGAGCGGCGGACGGGUGAGUAAGGUAUGGGGACUGCCCGAUAGAGGGGGUUAACUACUGGAAACGGUGGCUAAUACCGCAUACUAUCGGAUAACCCAUAUGGGAGUAGCUAGUAGGUGGGGUAAAGGAUCACCUAGGCGACGAUCUCUAGCUGGUCUGAGCGGAUGAUCAGCCACACUGGGACUGAGACACGGCCCAGACUCCUACGGAGGCAGCGGUGGGGAAUAUUGCACAAUGGGCGCAAGCCUGAUGCAGCCAUGCCGGGUGUAUGAAGAAGGCCUUAGGGUUGUAAAGUACUUUCAGCGGGGAGGCGUUGCCCGCGGAAGAAGCGCCGGCUAACUCCGUGCCAGCCGCCGCGGUAAUUC